UACGUAGGGUGCAAGCGUUAAUCGGAAUUACUGGGCGUAAAGCGUGCGCAGGCGGUUAUGUAAGACAGUUGUGAAAUCCCCGGGCUCAACCUGGGAACUGCAUUUGUGACUGCAUGACUAGAGUACGGCAGAGGGGGAUGGAAUUCCGCGUGUAGCAGUGAAAUGCGUAGAUAUGCGGAGGAACACCGAUGGCGAAGGCAAUCCCCUGGGCCUGUACUGACGCUCAUGCACGAAAGCGUGGGAGCAAACAGG
rnacentral:rRNA from 1 species